UACGGAGGAUCCGAGCGUUAUCCGGAUUUAUUGGGUUUAAAGGGUGCGUAGGCGGCCUUGUAAGUCAGGGGUGAAAGACGGUAGCUCAACUAUCGCAGUGCCUUUGAUACUGCAGGGCUUGAAUGUACUUGAGGUAGGCGGAAUGUGACAAGUAGCGGUGAAAUGCAUAGAUAUGUCACGGAACACCAAUUGCGAAGGCAGCUUACUAAAGUAUGAUUGACGCUGAGGCACGAAAGCGUGGGGAUCAAACAGG
rnacentral:rRNA from 1 species